GAGAUUGGGAGCCUCUCUACUUCUAUAGGAUGUAGUUCCGACGGAGGAAAGUCUUAGUUAUCUUGAGUACAUUAACGACGACCGUUCUGGUUCGCUCCGAUUCUCAAUGCUACAACAAAAAGUUAGAGCUCUACCUACUAUCUUCUUGUUGUUCUUGGAGAAAGCAGAUUUAUGGGUGUUUCAUUUUCAAGUUUCGGUGGAAGAUGUAGAAAAGCUAUGUAUUGUUGGUGGUAAUCUCAUAGGGAUCCAUGAAAACCUAGAAGACGUGAGUGAGACGCCGAGAGCCCUACCAUCAACAUCUUUCGCCUACUUUUGGUAGAUCUAUAGUCUUCUCUCUAUGGCUUCAGUUCUUUUAUGGAUCCUAGACCAGUUUCAGUCCCUCCAAUGCUGGGUUUGUGCUGAUGUGUUCCUCUUCACCCAAAUCUCUUCUUCUAACCAUCGGUACUUCUUUGCUCUUAAGAAGUUUUGACGGCGCCUUUGCUUUGUGUUGCUUUAUCUGCCGUUAGAGUUUUUUUUUUGAGUUCAGACUUGGACUUGUUUGUAGGGAUGGGUUGAGCUUAGUUUUCCUUUUAGUACAUG
rnacentral:lncRNA from 1 species